rnacentral:rRNA from 1 species
UCUGACACAGGUGCUGCAUGGCUGUCGUCAGCUCGUGUCGUGAGAUCGUUGGGUUAAGUCCCGUAACGAGCGCAACCCUUGUCCUUAGUUACCAGCACGUUAUGGUGGGCACUCUAAGGAGACUGCCGGGUGACAAACCGGAGGAAGGUGGGGAUGACGUCAAGUCAUCAUGGCCCUUACGGCCUGGGCUACACACGUGCUACAAUGGUCGGUACAAAGGGUUGCCAAGCCGCGAGGUGGAGCUAAUCCCAUAAAACCGAUCGUAGUCCGGAUCGCAGUCUGCAACUCGACUGCGUGAAGUCGGAAUCGCUAGUAAUCGUGAAUCAGAAUGUCACGGUGAAUACGUUCCCGGGCCUU